AUUGCCUGGCUGCUAGAGGAAACCCGAAGUCGGGAUUCUUUCUUUCCUGCUCUGAGAGGGACCAGGUCCCUCCUCCGUAGCUUUUGUCUCUCUAUUGCCUGCGCCGUGUCCUGGACUGCUCACGGGAGUUCUGCAGGAGACGCCGGAAUAUCUGGAAGCUGAAAAAUGGAAAUAAAUGGAAAGACCAGAAUAUUGAAGAUCACUACAGAAAUCUAAGGGUCAGGCAUGGUGGCUCACACCUGUAAUCCCAGCACUUUGGGAAGCAGAGGCAGUUGGAUCACUUGAACCUGGGAGGCGUUCUGGAGGUCAGGAGUUCGAGACCAGCUUGGCCAACAUGGUGAAACCCUGUGUCUGCUAAAAAUACAAAAAUUAGCCGGGCCUCAUGGCACAUGCCUGUAAUCCCAGCUACUCUGGAGGCUGAAGCAGGAGAAUCGCUUGAACCUGGGAGGCGGAGGUUGCAGUGAGCCGAGAUCACGCCACUGCUUCUUGCUUUAAAAGAAGAGUAAAGACAAGAGUGUUGGACCAGUAUUGCAGUUCUGUAGUAUCAUUUCUUAUAAAAAACAAAACAACAAUAAUUUAUCAAAAUUGGCAUAUAAAGACUGACAACAUUCUAAUAAAGGCACAAAUUUCUUUUUAA
rnacentral:lncRNA from 1 species